UACGUAGGGCGCAAGCGUUGUCCGGAAUUAUUGGGCGUAAAGGGCGUGUAGGCGGCCUCGUAAGUCUGAUGUGAAAGCCCCGGGCUCAACCUGGGAAGUGCAUUGGAAACUGCGAGACUUGAGUACGGGAGAGGGCAGUGGAAUUCCUAGUGUAGGAGUGAAAUCCGUAGAUAUUAGGAGGAACACCGGUGGCGAAGGCGGCUGCCUGGACCGAUACUGACGCUGAGACGCGAAAGCGUGGGGAGCAAACAGG
rnacentral:rRNA from 1 species